AGGUGUUUGAGCUUGUUGAAAAUUGCUUGAAGCUAUCCAAACCUUGGGCUUUGGUUUGGUGAUUUUGUGCGGCACCUUGCGGGUCAAACCUAGGAUUGUUGGAAUCAGGAGUACGAGCAAUCCAAGAUGAUGCUACUUUGGCUGCAGGUACUCCAGAGUUAGAUGACGAUCCAAUAGCGUUAUAUAUGAGAUAUUACGACUGAGGCACACCGUGACAGUUGUAAUGGGUUGGACUACGGUGUCCUCUCUUUUGAUAUAUUUUGUAUAUGGCUUGUGACGUGGGUGUCACGUAUUCUUUUGUAUAAGCCAUUCUUUUGUUAUAUGAUGUAAUGAUGUUAAGCCUUAAACAAAUAGACAUGUGUAUGGCUCUUUUGUUAGAUCGACAAGUUAUGUUUUAAUUGUACUUUUCCGCUGAAAUUAUGAUGGUAUUAUUAUGUUU